UGCGUAGGGCGUGCUUGAUCACGAUAUUUGGAAAGCUCACGCCUUUGAGGCGGGCGGUGCGGAUGUAUUGCGCGGUCAUCACUUCGGUCAUCGACGCGCGGGUCAUACGGGCAAUGUAGCCCAUGCCGUAAAGCGCGAUGGUGAUCACCGGCAAGAAGAAGUUGUUGAAGGUGGCGUCA
rnacentral:ncRNA from 1 species